UUAACUAUUACGUUUGUAACUUAGACACCAUAAUUUAUCAAGGAUUUAAAGGGGCUACUGACGGGCACUAGGCAAAAGUCCAAAGGCUUUUUGACCGUCCUGCGACGGGCCCGCCAAAGCAACGUGGUAUUUAAACAAAGGGUGGGAGAUCGGGCCCAGAAGACCCUAACUCUAUAAUGAUCCUUCCGCAGGUUCACCUACGGAAA
rnacentral:misc_RNA from 1 species